AGAGUUUGAUCCUGGCUCAGGGUAAACGCUGGCGGCGUGCCUAAAACAUGCAAGUCGAACGGGCAGGUUCUUCGGAAUCUGUCAGUGGCAGACGGCUGAGUAACGCGUGGGUGACAUACCCGACGGUGGGGAAUAACUGCCCGAAAGGGUGGCUAAGACCGCAUAUGUCUGUGGCUUCGAGGCGACAGACAAAGCAGCAA
rnacentral:rRNA from 1 species